CACGGGGGGAGCAAGCGUUGUUCGGAAUCACUGGGCGUAAAGGGCGUGUAGGCGGUUAAGUAAGUGGGAUGUGAAAGCCCCCAGCUCACCUGGGGAUCUGCAUUCCAAACUGCUUGACUUGAGUAUGGGAGAGGAUAGGGGAAUUCCUGGUGUAGCGGUGAAAUGCGUAGAUAUCAGGAGGAACACCGGUGGCGAAGGCGCCUAUCUGGCCCGAUACUGACGCUGGAGACGCGAAAGCGUGGGGAGCAAACAGG
rnacentral:rRNA from 1 species